rnacentral:rRNA from 1 species
CCUACGGGGUGCUGCAGUGAGGAAUAUUGGUCAAUGGUCGGGAGACUGAACCAGCCAAGCCGCGUGAGGGAUGAAGGUACAGAGUAUCGUAAACCUCUUUUGUCAGGGAACAAAGGCGGGGACGUGUCCCCGGAUGAGUGUACCUGAAGAAAAAGCAUCGGCUAACUCCGUGCCAGCAGCCGCGGUAAUACGGAGGAUGCGAGCGUUAUCCGGAUUUAUUGGGUUUAAAGGGUGCGCAGACGGUCUGUUAAGUCAGCGGUAAAAGCCCGGGGCGCAACCCCGGCCCGCCGUUGAAACUGGCAGUCUCGAGUUGGAGAGAAGUAUGCGGAAUGCGCGGUGUAGCGGUGAAAUGCAUAGAUAUCGCGCAGAACUCCGAUUGCGAAGGCAGCAUGCCGGCUCCACACUGACGCUGAGGCACGAAAGCGUGGGUAUCGAACAGGAUUAGAUACCCUUGUAGUC